AGCAUUCCAUGGAAAGAUCUCCAAGAACUAGAUCCACUCAAAUCAAACGAACGGCUUAGCCCCGCUGCAGACGUGGUACAUCCAUGUUAUAGAUGGUGAAGUUCAGGCACAGAGAAGCCCCAUCUCCAGGUUCCUGGUUGGAAUCUGCUCCCCACUCAGCCAGCUGCUGAUGGACUAUUCCUGGUGACUUUGCUGGCUUCACUUCUCAUUUCCAGCCACCAAAAAAUGCCAUUUGUUUGAGCCGCUUCGGAUGUUUGGUAAUUGAAGAGAACUGCAGUGGACUGGUUACCUGCCAAGAGGGAUUGCAAAGUAGAAGACAGACAGCAUGAGGGUUCUGGUGUUUUUGGUGAAAAGGUCUCCUAUGAUGGUGGGAGCGAUGGUGGAAUAACUGGCUUCACCGAUGCCAACCAAACCUCGUGAGAGGACGAGGAGCCAGAAAUACUGAGGGAAGUAAUAAGAAAAAAAUUAAUCAGUCAUCAAAAUGGUUGAUAAUGAAACAGUCCAGCAUGGAAACGCAAGCCCACGUGGCCAGACGAUAACACUUACCCCCAUCACCCCCCUGUCACUCUUACC